rnacentral:rRNA from 1 species
GACGAACGCUGGCGGCACGCUUAACACAUGCAAGUCGAACGAGAGAAGAGAAGCUUGCUUUUCUGAUCUAGUGGCGGACGGGUGAGUAACACGUGAGCAAUCUGCCUUUCAGAGGGGGAUACCGAUUGGAAACGAUCGUUAAUACCGCAUAAUAUAAUUGAACCGCAUGAUUUGAUUAUCAAAGAUUUAUCGCUGAAAGAUGAGCUCGCGUCUGAUUAGCUAGUUGGUAAGGUAACGGCUUACCAAGGCGACGAUCAGUAGCCGGACUGAGAGGUUGAUCGGCCACAUUGGGACUGAGACACGGCCCAGACUCCUACGGGAGGCAGCAGUGGGGAAUAUUGCACAAUGGAGGAAACUCUGAUGCAGCGAUGCCGCGUGAGGGAAGAAGGUUUUAGGAUUGUAAACCUCUGUCUUCAGGGACGAAAAAAGACGGUACCUGAGGAGGAAGCUCCGGCUAACUACGUGCCAGCAGCCGCGGUAAUACGUAGGGAGCGAGCGUUGUCCGGAAUUACUGGGUGUAAAGGGAGCGUAGGCGGGAUCGCAAGUCAGAUGUGAAAACUAUGGGCUUAACCCAUAAACUGCAUUUGAAACUGUGGUUCUUGAGUGAAGUAGAGGUAAGCGGAAUUCCUAGUGUAGCGGUGAAGUGCGUAGAUAUUAGGAGGAACAUCAGUGGCGAAGGCGGCUUACUGGGCUUUAACUGACGCUGAGGCUCGAAAGCGUGGGGAGCAAACAGGAUUAGAUACCCUGGUAGUCCACGCCGUAAACGAUGAUUACUAGGUGUGGGGGGACUGACCCCUUCCGUGCCGCAGCAAACGCAAUAAGUAAUCCACCUGGGGAGUACGACCGCAAGGUUGAAACUCAAAGGAAUUGACGGGGGCCCGCACAAGCAGUGGAGUAUGUGGAUUAAUUCGAAGCAACGCGAAGAACCUUACCAGGUCUUGACAUCGUAUGCAUAGCUCAGAGAUGAGUGAAAUCUCUUCGGAGACAUAUAGACAGGUGGUGCAUGGUUGUCGUCAGCUCGUGUCGUGAGAUGUUGGGUUAAGUCCCGCAACGAGCGCAACCCUUACUGUUAGUUGCUACGCAAGAGCACUCUAGCAGGACUGCCGUUGACAAAACGGAGGAAGGUGGGGAUGACGUCAAAUCAUCAUGCCCCUUAUGACCUGGGCCUCACACGUACUACAAUGGCUGUCAACAGAGGGAUGCAAAGCCGCGAGGUGGAGCGAACCCCUAAAAGCAGUCUUAGUUCGGAUUGUAGGCUGCAACCCGCCUACAUGAAGUCGGAAUUGCUAGUAAUCGCAGAUCAGCAUGCUGCGGUGAAUACGUUCCCGGGCCUUGUACACACCGCCCGUCACGCCAUGGGAGUCGGUAACACCCGAAGCCAAUAGUCUAACCGCAAGGAGGACGCAGUCGAAGGUGGGACC